rnacentral:rRNA from 1 species
CCUACGGGAGGCAGCAGUGGGGAAUAUUGGGCAAUGGAGGAAACUCUGACCCAGCAAUGCCGCGUGAAUGAAGAAGGUCGUCGGAUGGUAAAGUUCUUUAGUCAGGGAAGAAGAAAAUGACGGUACCUGAAGAAUAAGCCACGGCUAACUACGUGCCAGCAGCCGCGGUAAUACGUAGGGGGCAAGCGUUAUCCGGAUUUACUGGGUGUAAAGGGAGCGUAGACGGCAGCACAAGUCUGGAGGGAAAUGCCGGGGCUUAACCCCGGAACUGCUUGGGAAACGGUGCAGCUAGCGUGCAGGAGAGGUACGUGGCCUUCCUAGUGUCGCUGUGAAAUGCGUAGAUAUUAGGCGGCACACCAGUGGCG